rfam:Ancylostoma ceylanicum strain HY135 Acey_s0571_scaf, whole genome shotgun sequence.
CCAACGGCCCUCUUUAGGGCCACAAAUUUUGUCGAAUACUCUUUG